CGCGCCGCGUUGCCAUGGGGACGGGAGGAGCGGGGCCCGGGAGAAAAGGAGGCCCGGGAGUGACCUGGUCAUUCUCCCGUUCCCUGAAAGGAGGCUGCAGCCAGGUUGGACUUCAUGAUUUCAGAGAGUUUCUCCAACCUAAUUGAUUCAGUGAUUCUGUGAAAUUGGUUGGCACAAUCACCCCUACUGCUGGCGGGCCAGGAGCGGCCCGAGGAAGCAUGGGAUGCCAGCGGAUGUGGAAGCCAGUCAGCACAACUGGGUGCAAAAGCAGUGCAGUGCCGUGUGUGCGGCAGGAUGGCCAGGCUAACACGCGUCCUCUCCUCUGUGAUGUGCGUGAGGGCGGUGGUUGGGCGUUCAAAUGGUUUUGCUGCCUCCAUCGUGACAGCACCACCACUGGGAGAAUGCUUUGAUUUCCCAGAGAAAUGUGGUCGCCUUGUUGCAUUAUGUGUCAUCUUUUCUAGCUGCUUCUGAGCAACUGCCAGGCUGCCAAACCCGACUUACUGACGCAGAUAAAAUAAAAAACACCCCAACAUUGUACUCUUUGAACUGAAAACUCCUCCGUGACUAGGAACAGGGACUGGCCCAUGGCGAUGACCUCUCUUGCUGGCUGAGAGGGCAGUCAGUGUUUGUGGUCUGCAGCCCCGUGAGCCUCUUGUCCACAUACAUCAAAAAACUGACUGAAGCCACCCAUAAUGCUGGACUACAGGGGGAAAGAGUGUGUUGUUAAUAAUCAUUUUGAAGUCCUGGGUCUAAGAUGUGAUUUAUUUAUGAAGGGAAGCUGAAUGAGAAAUGCAGUCCUUCAGGUGGGAGCUCUCUGAAGAAAAGAGGCUGACAUUCUGACCUUGGCCACUGACGGGAGUUUUACAUCAGUGAGGCUCCAGAGCUGCUGAGCCAGACUCUGGUCUCUGCACGAAGAGCUUGCUGGGACUCGGCAGUGCAACAGCACUUGACUGUGGCUGAGGGUGAUACAGAGAAGACAGAGCCAGAUUCUAAGGGGUUUUGCACAGCUAAAGACCAGAGAAAGGGGCUGCAAGUUGCAGGUUGGAAUUAGAGUGCAACAAAAGGAAAAAAAAAAAAA